AGUUCCAGAGAGCAAGAGAAAGGGAUGUAAAUCUCGUCUUUUCAUCCAUUAUCAGUGGGUAAGAGAGAGUUGCUGAGGUUUUUACAGAGACAAAAAUGGAGAAGUUGGAGAGAUUUGAGGGUUUAUACUUCUAUUAUAAUAAUUUGAAUGAAAAGACGAAGUAGCUGAAAAUUCUUAGAUGGGUUCGCAAGAAACACAAUGGACAACUACAGCUUCGUCGUCAGUAAUCUUCACUUGGUCCAAUUGUUUUAGACUUGGAUGACUUGGAUUGCGACAAAUGAGUUCUUUAUCAUGUUUCUCACUUACGGCUCUUUGGAGGGAGUUUGAUAUAACAAAAUAGUGCGGACAGUUAUAAUUUGAUAUAAAAAGAUAGUGGGCAGGUUUUUUUAGUGAUCUUCGGAGAUAAUUUUGUAUGUAGCAAACAAGGUUUCUUGACUCCUUGAGCUCUGUUGAGACUACUGUGAGUAUUGGUACAAAAAUCUGAAGUUGUCUUAUUUAAUCCGGAGGCAAAUCAUGGCAGUAAGUGGAAUACUCGAAUUUAAGGUAAAUCUCUUUUAUCUUUAGGGGUCUAAUUCGUGAAUGCUUGAUAAUGCAUUUGUUAACCGGGAGUUGAUUCUGUCCAUGGAAUGUUGUGAAAUGAUGCGCUAUAUGGGUUAAUUAAAAUGAUAAUAUUUGUGUCAGUGUCAUGGAGUACUCAAUUCAAACCAAGAAUUUUUAGUUCAAUUUUGCGUUGGUGUAUUUGUUCUUUAAUUUAGCAAACCCAGAAUACUACAAUACUUUUGGAUUAAAUGGAUGAAUUGUCUUACUGAUUAGCUGGGUGCCUAUGUAAGUGUUUGUUAAAAAUGUUUCUAUGAUCAACGAAUGUUACUGGUCACCUUUGUAGUUGGGAUGUCAUAUCCCAUUUAGACAUAUUGUCGUUCAACUGUAUACAAUUUGUUGAGCAUUGUCUAUUCCUUGUACCUUCUCUAUCAUCCUUAGGAGUCUCCAUUUGUUUGUGUUACAUUGUUGUUUACUAAUAUUUUUAGUGGCGGGUACAGACGUAGAUGUUGGUAUCUUGCCGUUUAGUGAGAAUUGCUAGGGAUAGUUGUUGCUAGGAAAUUCAUACUAUCCAAUGCUGGAAAUAUUUACUGUUACGGUAAGAAGUUCAUACAAUUUAUUUAAGAGAUGAUUGCUAUCUAAAUGGGAUAGUGCAUAUCAUCUAGUUAGAGAUAAUUGCUACUAUUAAGAGUAGUUCAUAUUAUCUAAAUAAAUAGAUGACAAACUACGGUCGUGCUUAAUCCCUUCGAGCAACGGAGAGCGUACGCAGGCAGCUGCUAUGCGGUUCAGCACAACUCUACAAGGUUGUUCAUAUCAUCUGAAAGUGUUGGUUGCUGUUUUGACAGUUCAGACCAUUUAUUCAGGGAUGAUUGCAACCCUGGAAUUUAUUGCAACACCUGUUUUUUCAAAUCAAAACCCUACCACACCUAUCUCUUUUUUCUAUCUAUUCUUUCUGUUCCUCCAGAUUCAGCCAUUGCAGCUUACAGAUCCGUGCCAACCGAGUCAGACUGGAGGACGAGUAUUGCACAAGUGGGAUUUUUCAGUUUGGGGUGGACAGGGCAAUGCUUGGGUAGAUUCCGGGGAACUUUUGUAUCUACCCGACUUGGUGUGAGAGUGUUGCAGACAGUGACUGGUUUAUGUGUUGCUGAUUCUUUGAACUCGUCGUUUCCUCCUGUAUCUGAUGGAGAAUUAAAUCUCCAGCCGUUAUCUUUAGUUAGUGGAGAUCUGAAAAAAUCUUUAUCCACUAGUGUUCAAUGCACACCUGAAACUGAAAAGAAAUAUGUUCAUCGUGUUUAUGAAGCAAUUACUCCGCAUUAGUUCCACUAGGUUUGCCAAGUGGCUGAAAGUGUCGACGUUUUUGAAUGCACUGCCAUGUGGUUCUCUUGUUUGGGACUAGCAAACAGAAAAAUGAGAAGAAGGGCACUGUGGUAAACAACCGAUAUUACCAUGUAUUCAAAGAAGGAGAGCUUGAAAGGUAGGGACACCAUCUAAAUUUCUAGUUUCAGUUUUCCUCUCUAUCUGGUAUCUCAUGCUACUGUUACUAUGCUUUUGCCUUCUUCUGUAAUGAUUUUGACUGUACAUUUUCGGUA